rfam:Schistosoma haematobium scaffold1541_4, whole genome shotgun sequence.
GUCCAACUGAUGAGUCCCAAACAGUACGGAACAUGCGUCCUGGAU